rnacentral:piRNA from 1 species
UUGAAGAAAAAGAAAGCUAGAUAGAUGGAG